GUCUUUUUGAUAAAUAAUUUAAAGUCUAAUCUGCCCCCUGAAAUUAUUUAAAGGGCUGCGGUAUUUUAACCGUACAAAGGUAGCAUAAUAAUUAGGUUUUUAAUUGAAAUCUAGAAUGAAUGAUUGGACGAGAUACCAGCUGUUUUAAAAUAAUUAGUUAGAAUUUAAUUUUUUAGUUAAAAAGCUAAAAUUUUAUUAAAAGACGAGAAGACCCUAUAAAUCUUUAUAAUAAUUGUAUUUUAAUAAAUUAUUUUAUUUAAAUUAAUAGUUUAAUAUGAAAAUUAUUUUAUUGGGGUGAUAUAAAAAUUUAAAUAACUUUUUUAAACUAAUUUCUUUAAUUAAAGAUUUAAAAAUUAUGAUCUAUUAUUAGUAAUUCAAAGAAUAAGAUACUUUAGGGAUAACAGCGUAAUUUUAAUUUUAAGUUCUUAUUAAAAUUAAAGAUUGCGACCUCGAUGUUGGAUUAAAAUUUAGUUUAAAUGCAAAGGUUUAAAAAUUAAGUCUGUUCGACUUUUAAAAUUUU
rnacentral:rRNA from 1 species